GACGAACGCUGGCGGCGUGCUUAACACAUGCAAGUCGAACGGUAAGGCCCUUCGGGGUACACGAGUGGCGAACGGGUGAGUGACACGUGAGUAAUCUGUCCUUGACUCUGGGAUAACUGCGGGAAACUGUAGCUAAUACCGGAUACGACACCUUCGGGCAUCCGAUGGGUGUGGAAAGAAUUUCGGUCAAGGAUGAACUCGCGGCCUAUCAGCUAGUUGGUGAGGUAAUGGCUCACCAAGGCGACGACGGGUAGCCGGCCUGAGAGGGUGACCGGCCACACUGGGACUGAGACACGGCCCAGACUCCUACGGGAGGCAGCAGUGGGGAAUAUUGCACAAUGGGCGAAAGCCUGAUGCAGCAACGCCGCGUGAGGGAUGAAGGCCUUCGGGUUGUAAACCUCUUUUAGUUGGGAAGAAGCGAAAGUGACGGUACCAACAGAAAAAGCACCGGCUAACUACGUGCCAGCCGCCGCGGUAA
rnacentral:rRNA from 1 species